UACGUAGACCUCGAGCGUUAUCCGGAUUUACUGGGCGUAAAGCGUGCGUAGGCGUCUUUUUAAGUCUCUGAUGAAAUCUCCGGGCUCAACUCGGAAACUGUUAGAGAAACUGGAAGGAUAGAGUAUGGCAGAGGCAGAUGGAAUGGUUGGUGUAGCGGUAAAAUGCGUUGAUAUCAACCAGAACACCAGUGGCGAAGGCGAUCUGCUGGGCCAUUACUGACGCUGAGGUACGAAAGCGUGGGGAGCGAACGGG
rnacentral:rRNA from 1 species